CAACUUGGAAUCAGAAACAAGACUCUCAGACAGCAUAGUACCAGCAAAAUUAGCAGAACACAUGGGAGCAGGAGCUUGAUCACUGGAAUCCUUUGAAAGGGUCUGUUGAAUCAAACUUAUAAUUUGAUCACAUUUCUGUCUGCUCAACCCUGGUAUCACAGGUUGACUUGCAAUAGGAUCCCUAAGAGGAACAGACAAAUUAGAAUUCCCAUUAUCAUCAGACACACAAUCAGGACCAGUAGAAAUAUGAGCAGCUGCAGAUUUCCUUCCCUUGAUGUAAUUAUUAUUUUGAGGAAAACCAUGGAGCUUNNNN
rnacentral:lncRNA from 1 species